rnacentral:rRNA from 1 species
AUUGAACGCUGGCGGCAGGCCUAACACAUGCAAGUCGAACGAGUGGCGGACGGGUGAGUAAUGUCUGGGAAACUGCCUGAUGGAGGGGGUUAACUACUGGAAACGGUAGCUAAUCCCGCAUACCAUCAGAUGUGCCCAGAUGGGAUUAGCUUGGUGGUGGGGUAAUGGGUCACCAAGGCGACGAUACCUAGCUGGUCUGAGAGGAUGACCAGCCACACUGGAACUGAGACACGGCCCAGACUCCUACGGGAGGCAGCAGUGGGGAAUAUUGCACAAUGGGCGAAAGCCGGAUGCAGCCAUGCCGCGUGUAUGAAGAAGGCCUUCGGGUUGUAAAGUACUGUCAGCGGGGAGGCGGGACCCGCAGAAGAAGCACCGGCUAACUCCGGGCCAGCAGCCGCGGUAAUUC